rnacentral:rRNA from 1 species
CUACGGGAGGCAGCAGUGGGGAAUAUUGCACAAUGGGGGAAACCCUGAUGCAGCAACGCCGCGUGAGUGAUGACGGUCUUCGGGUUGUAAAGCUCUGUCUUUGGGGACGAUAAUGACGGUACCCAAGGAGGAAGCCACGGCUAACUACGUGCCAGCAGCCGCGGUAAU